rnacentral:rRNA from 1 species
AUUGAACGCUGGCGGCAUGCCUUACACAUGCAAGUCGAACGGCAGCACGGGUGCUUGCACCUGGUGGCGAGUGGCGAACGGGUGAGUAAUACAUCGGAACAUGUCCUGUAGUGGGGGAUAGCCCGGCGAAAGCCGGAUUAAUACCGCAUACGAUCUACGGAUGAAAGCGGGGGACCUUCGGGCCUCGCGCUAUCGGGUUGGCCGAUGGCUGAUUAGCUAGUUGGUGGGGUAAAGGCCUACCAAGGCGACGAUCAGUAGAUGGUCUGAGAGGACGACCAGCCACACUGGGACUGAGACACGGCCCAGACUCCUACGGGAGGCAGCAGUGGGGAAUUUUGGACAAUGGGCGAAAGCCUGAUCCAGCAAUGCCGCGUGUGUGAAGAAGGCCUUCGGGUUGUAAAGCACUUUUGUCCGGAAAGAAAUCCUUGGCUCUAAUACAGUCGGGGGAUGACGGUACCGGAAGAAUAAACACCGGCUAACUACGU